GGCUCAGGAUGAAUGCUGGCGGUGUGCUUAAGGUAUGCAAGUCGAGCGGAAUUGUAGCAAUACAGUUCAGCGGCAGACGGGUGAGUUAUGCGUAGGAAUCUACCUCUAAGGGGGGAAUAGCUCGCCGAAAGGCGGGGUAAUACCGCAUGUGAUCUGCAAAGAUCAAAGCCGUAAGGCGCUUGGAGAGGAGCCUGCGUGCUAUCAGCUUGUUGGUAGGGUAAAAGCCUACCAAGGCUAUGACGGCUAGGGGGCGUGAGAGCGUGGCCCCCCACAAGGUUACUGAGAUACGGAGCCUACACCUACGGGUGGCAGCAAUCGGGAAUCGUUCGCAAUGGGGGAAACCCUGACGACGCGACACCGCGUGUGGGAAGACGGCCUUUGGGUUGUAAACCACUGUGGCGAGGGAAGAAUAAAAUGACGGUACCUCGCUAGAAAGCACCUGCUAACUACGUGCCAGAAGCCUCGGUAAUACGUAGGGUGCAAGCAUUAUCCGGAUUUACUGGGCGUAAAGGGUUUCGUAGGCGGACUAAUUAGUCGAGUCUUAAAAACCGCGGCUCAACUGCGGGGAUGGACUCGAUACUGUUAGUCUUGAGGGUGUGAGAGGUGACUGGAAUUCUCGGUGGAGGGGUGAAAUCCGUUGAUAUCGAGAGGAACGUCAAUGGCGAAAGCAGGUCACUGGCACACUCCUGACGCUCAUGUACGAAAGCGUGGGUAGCAAACCGGAUUAGAGACCCGGGUAGUCCACGCCGUAAACAAUGGAUACUAGAUGUCCCGCCCGCCAAGGGCGAGAAAUUUCAAUUUCCAAACUGCAAAUAUUGUUAUUUGUCAUUUGGUAUUUGUGCUUUUCUUGCUUUUAGCGGGUGGGGUGUCGUAAGCUAACGCGUUAAGUAUCCCGCCUGGGUAGUACGGCCGCAAGGCUAAAACUCAAAGGAAUUGACGGGGAAGCGCACAACCGGUGGAGCAUGUGGUUUAAUUCGAUACGAAGCGAAAGACCUUACCUGGGUUUGACAUGCAACUGCUAAUCCCUGGAAACAGGGACUCUUUCGAAGGUGUUGCACAGCUGCUGCAUGGCUGUCGUCAGCUCGUGUCGUGAGACGUCCGCUUAAGUGCGGUAACGAGCGCAACCCCUGCUGCGUGUUACAUAUUCACGCGGGACUGCCUUACAGCAAGUAGGGAGGAAGGAGGGGACGACGUCAAGUCAGCAUGGCGCUUACACCCAGGGCUACACACAUCCUACAAUGGCAAGUAACAACGGGUUGCGAGAGGGUAACCUUUAGCCAAUCCUUCAAACCUUGCCUCAGUUCAGAUUGGGGGCUGCAACUCGCCCCCAUGAAGUCGGAAUCGGUAGUAAUCGCAGGUCAGCAGACUGCGGUGAAUACGUUCUCGCUUCUUGUACACACUGCCCGUCAAGCCAGCAAAGUUGGCAGCGCCCGAAGCGGGUGUCCUAAACCGCAAGGAUAGGCCCUUCUAAGGCGAGGUCAGCGAUGAGGACUAAGUCGUAACAAGGUAACCGUA
rnacentral:rRNA from 1 species